UACGGAGUGUGCAAGCGUUAUUCGGAAUCACUGGGCUUAAAGAGUCCGUAGGCGGCAUGUUAGGUGAGGUGUGAAAUCCCCCGGCUUAACCGAGGAAUUGCGCUUCAAACCGGCGUGCUAGAGGAAGAUAGAGGUGGGCGGAACUGAUGGUGGAGCGGUGAAAUGCGUUGAUAUCAUCAGGAACACCGGAGGCGAAGGCGGCCCACUGGGUCUUUUCUGACGCUGAGGGACGAAAGCUAGGGGAGCGAACGGG
rnacentral:rRNA from 1 species